CAGAAACUGUACCAACGGUUUCCAAACCCAAAGAACCUCAAACUGUCAUUAGCAAAUCUAAUGAGGAAAUAAUACAGACACUCGAGGUCCUAGAGAAGAAGGAUUCAGAACAUAAAUCUGAUGAAGAAACUGAAGAGAAGGAGAAAGAUAAAGGUGACGAAGAGGAUGAAGCUGCAGAAGAAGAAUAUGAUGAGGAAGAAUGUGAAGAGGAAAAUGACUACAUUGCAUCAUACUUCGAUGAUGGAGAUGCCUAUGAAGCAAGUGAUGAUAAUAUGGAUGAAGCUACAUAUUAGUUGUCUGCCGGAUUAUGCAAUUAAUGUAUACUGUGAAAGUGUUCACCAUUCCUGCAGGAUUGUUCUGUGUGUCCUCAGGUCAUUUGCAGGGUUUUGUUUUGCACAUGUAAAGGAAUUCAAAUAAGAAAUAUUGUUUACAAUGAAGAUAAAUGGGUUCCACUUUAGCCUCAAUAAGCAUACAUCAGUUAGCGCUGGUCACUUUAGACUGGUUGAUUGAAACAAAUCCUGGUUUAAAUGCACUUAGGUUGGUGGUCGCACUGGCGUUCAUGUACCUAUGCAAGUCUUGUAGCAAAGAGCAAGAGGAAUGUGUCAAAGUAUCUUCCCUGGUGGUAAUUUACAUGUCAGCAGUUUCAGAUAAUGAUUAUCGACAGGGAUCAUUAUUUAUUCUGAACUAUAAUAUAUUGUAAGUGAAAGUAGACUGGUUUAUUGCAUCUUUGGUGCUAAAAUGUGUCAGUUCUUUCAACUGGUUCUGACUUAAACAAGCAUAAAAAAGAAUUCAAAGCAAUGGGUUGGAAUAAUUUGAUUUAUACUGCCUGAAUAUUUAGGAGCACUUGUAUUGUUCUCAGGCUUAAAAUUGUUCUGAAGUUAUUGUUAUCAUAAUGAAAUGCAAACAUGUUUGCAAAAAAAAAAUCAAUUGCCUCCAUUGCCCAGGCAUGUAACCUACCUCUUUAAAAUUAUAAUUGCACAAGUAUAUGUCCUUGGAUACUUCAAGCCUCCAGAUUAGUGUCACCUCUUCAAUGUAAUUGGUUUUAUUCUUGUGUUUGUGCGUUAUGGGGCAUUGCUUGCUAGGCUAAUAUUUACUAUUCAUCCUCAAUUGCCUUUGAGAACUGAUGAGCUGCCUUCUUGAAUUGCUGCAGUCCUUGGGAUGUAGAUAACUUCCUGUACUAUCAGGCAAAAUGUAUAAUGUUUAGUAACUUCUUUAAAAGAAAGAGGCAGACCAAGGUUGAAUAUGAAUGUGAUAACUCACUACCCUCCGAACUAUUCUCAUUGAAACAGCAUUUAAAGAUCAUUUGUUUGUUUACAAAAACCGUGAUGAAUAGUAUCCUAUAUGAAUCCUAUAUGAAUAGAAAUUUAGGAAAUGACAUGGCAGAUCAUGAAAUGUGGUCAAUCUGUCCCAUUGAUCUUUCAUAAAAAAAAUUCCAGGCUCUUCAAUACAUCUUACCGGCUUAUACUCAGUAUGGCUGCCUUAUUUCCUGCUGUGCCUCCAAUGGCUGGGUACCCUUUGGCAAUCAGAAUUGUACAUCAUGCACUAAAUAUGGAUGUAUGAGAGCUGCCUCAUCACCUCUUGUGAAGCCAAUAUGUGGUUAACUAUUCCUAUAGUUGUUACAGUGUUGUGUUUUGAUUCAGUGAGCUGUCCACCAAAUAAUCAACUCUUCUCCUGUAGCCCAGAGUGAUAUAGCUUCUAAUUACACUUUUUAAUACCUUCUCCAAAUUUUGUUUCCCACUUACCAACCUGACUAGCACUGAUACUACUUGAGUGACCCCUUUGUUAUUGCUGAACCUACAUUCAAGAACAUUGUUUUCUGAUUUCACCAGCCUUUAGUCUAAAUGCCUCAAAUUCCAUGCCUUGUGAGCAAGUGACACAAUCAAAAGCUUUUCUGAAAUCAUAAAAGAACUUGGUUUUCGAGAAAAGACAUGUGCCUUUCAUGUUCUCAGGUCACCCCAAAGCAUUUCGGUCGAUGAAUUGCUUCUGAAUCAUAAUCUCUGUUGUUUUGUGAACAAAAUCUGCAAGGUCCCUCAAAGAACAUACAAGUAAAUGAAUAAAUAAGCUAUUUUAGUUUGGGUAAGAAAUAAAUAUUUGUUCUGCACUAAAGUCCCUGCUAAAGUUAUAAAUUCAUUUUUUUUUCAUUCUGAACUUAAUCAUAAACCUUAACGUAAUGUUGUCAAAGAUUUGAAGAUGUCCUGUGAACUCCUGGUUUUUACUUAACAUCAGGACAGUAUUUUGAAUAGGAAAAAAUAGACUUCAGUCAGUCUGCAGCCCUCUUCUAUCAUAAUCUGCAUAUAAUCAAGGAACAUGUAGACAACUUUCUAAGUGGUCUGACUGGAAGGUCUAGAAUUACCCUGACAGGUUAUUAAUGAACUAAUGACUUGAAAAUUAAAGUGUAAUAUUACCUUGCCUUUACAUUUUUUUAAUAGGUUUUGUUAGUCAAUGAAAACCAGUAGUACCAGGGCUUAUUUGCAUUUGAUUUUGUAUAUUUUUGUGCAUAAAUAAAUGAUUUGGUAUUUGCUAUAACGUAUGCUAAAUGUAUGAAAUUUCU